rnacentral:lncRNA from 1 species
CUCCCUUGAAGCGACGCCCUAACGUAGUGAAAUUACUAACUUACCCUCCAAAAUAAUAAAAGGGUCAAGGUACCACUUUAUUUAAAAAAAAUUAAAAGAAAUGUGCAAAACAAAGUUCAUUUGAUCAUAAAGUUCCUAAAGUCAUGACUUAAGCGCAAUUGAAACAAAGCAUGGUAGUUAAUUGAAGCAAACAAACAAUGAAGUUGCACAAAUUAAAAUUACCAAGGACCAAAUUGAUGAAAUUAUUUAAUUGAUUGGGUCCUAAUGCCUUUAGUUAGAAGCCAAGGGGUUGAUCUGCAAUUUUCCAGGUUUAUUUCUUCAUGCAAAGCAUGCAAUCACGUAGGAAAAUUUUCUGCAAUGAGAUCAAUAAGACUGCUGCAUUCUUUGCUUCCCUUUCCAAUAUCGUGAUUCAGAUUUAGCCAAAACUUUUCUUGAUCUAACAUUCCAAACUUCAAACCAAACAACAAAGCAUAAACUUGGCAGUCAAACAACCCAAAAACAUAGGGAAAGAUCAUGCAAACAUUCUGGAAAAAUACACAAGAAUGAUUCGGCACUUUGAAGAUUUCUGCAUUUGAAGCUUUCUGCAAAUUUUCCAGCCAUGUCUCCUGCCAUUCUUAUGUUCAUUUUAAUGCCAUUUUCAUCCAGACCAAAUUAGUAUUUUUAUCCUAACAUCAAACGCCUUGAUUCCAAAACAGCAAAACACAACAAUCAACGCCCAAAACCAGCCGAAGGAGAAAAAGAAAAACGGAUAAAUGGAAGCAUACAAUGUUCUGAAAAAAUUUCUGGUAUUGCUUCUAUCCAUUCUAUCAUGCAAAUAAGUUCAUGAAACAGCAAGUUUCUACUCAUUCAUCCUCAAUUAAACACGCAACUUCACUGAAGGGUUGGCACAAAGAAAUAGAGUUGACCAUUAGGGGGGGAAAAAAAACUAACAGCCGUAGAAGGAACGAAAAUGCAGCAAAACCUUUUGUAAUUCGGCACUUUGCAAGAAUCAGUCUCCAUGCUCAAUCAAAACUAAAUACAACUAUGCAAACCUCUUACUUUACAUCAUGAAAACUUUCAGAUUUAGACACCAAAAGCCGGGCAACAAGCAUGCAAAAUCCAAAUGAUUCAAGCAACUUCAAGCAAAGUUUACAAAUUUUCUGCAACAUUGAAAUCUUAUGUAAUGCGGUCCUCCUUUCAAAAGGCAACAAUUAGCAUUCCAAGCAAAACAAAAGACAGACUGGAAUCAAAAUAUCAAACACCAGACUUGCCAUUCAUUUUCAAUACAAAGACUCAAAAUAAACAUGCAAAUCUGGAAGUAAAAAAACGCAACUUCCCACUAUAUUAUCCAAGACAUACAUAGCCAACAAAAUUUGCAGCCAGCGGCAACCUCUUCGAACCCAAAACAAAUACGAUCUUAUGCAUCCUAUCAUCAAAAAUCCAGCCAUAAAUCAUGCAUCUCCCAGAAAUUUCCAACCCAGAUUGUGCAUAAAAAUCACCAAAAGAAAACAGCCAUGAACACUAGAAACGAACACAGCUAAACGCAAAUCCCUUCUCCUCCAAGAACAAACCAGAUUCACGGAUAGAAACUCGCAUGAAGAAUGCAAUCCAGUGCAAAGACUAAGACUUUCAGCAUACAAACAUAACUCAGCAACUUACAAACAAAUCCAAAGUAAAAAAAAUGUUACCUUUAAACCUUGACCGAAAGCUUGAUGUAUUCCAGAAGACGAAAUCUUUGCUUCUUCGUCUCUCCCGCAGAUGCGCUUCCUGAUUCUUUGCCUUGCUUCAACGAAUCCAAAACCUUCUUGCUGCCCAAAGUUUCCUGAACCAACACCUCUAAAACUCACUGCUUUUCUCUUAAUCCGCCGUAAAUCUUCCUCACUCUUUUAUCACUCUUUCUCAGUCGCUGAUUUUCUGCUUUCUUCAGCCGCACACUCUCUGUCUUUUCCCUUCUAGCUUUCUCUCUUUGUUUUUCUAAGUUUCGGCUGUCACCUCUCUCUCGUAUGUCCUCCACCCAGAAUUUUCUCUAGCCUUCAACCUUCUUAAACCCCAGCCGUUAGUCCUUUCCCCCAAAACUCUAUCUUUUCGCUGCCUUUCCUUUUUCUUCUUUUGGUUUAGCCAGAAACCCUCGCUCCUGCGGCUGCUGCUGCAUCUUCUAUUUAUAUGGGGCCACCCCAACCCUAAAACUCCCAUUGUCUCCUCUAAAAUUGCAGCCAAGGGCUGCCCGAGCCCUUACUUGCAAGCUGCGUAAAAACGCAGCUUGCCAUCGCGUAUUCC